rnacentral:misc_RNA from 1 species
AUUUCAAAAUCAAUAUAUGCCUUCCACAACAACUCUGGCAUGUCCAAGGCUGCCUGUGCUAUUGCAAGCUCGAAAAUUGAUCGUGCCCGUUCAGUUUCAGACAGAGAUCUCUCCAGUUCCGCAUAUUUGCUCCAAGCAUAACAAUUUUCAGGUGACCACUCUAAAUAUUUCUCAUAAAGCUUUCGACAGCGAUCAAUAUUACCAAGUUGCAGCUCUAUCUCAAUAUAUUUCUUAAAAAUCUUAUCUUUGGGAGCUUUGCCAAUGGCAUUGCCUAAAAUUUGUCGAGCACCCAUGAGAUUCAACCGUCGAAUUUCAAAUUGUGCAGCUAAAAGCCAUAUCUUUGCAAAUGA